UUGUCUGUCUAGUGCAGCGACUGGACGGUAGGCUUUCACGGCUGUUAUCACAUAUCAAGCUAUCAGUGAUGUAAUGGCAGCAGGUGUGGCCAAGCUUGCGGCGCCGCGCCCGCACCGCCGCGGCACGCGAACAGCGCCCGCCGCACCAUCAGCCACGAUACCAAACCAACUGGGUUGACUCAGUCAGUGCCUCGCAGUGCCUUCCACACGACGCUCGUGCCUUAACUCCGCGAAACGAAACACGACCAUUCACUUUACAAUUACGAUAACAUUCCGACAGUCUUUAGCUGUCCCCUUACGUUUGCAUACUCUCCCACGUGGACAGUAGUGGCCACUUAAAAGGUAGUAGGUUAUUGUCCCGCGGCGCGUUGUUUACAAACAGUGUCAGAAAAUCGGCGUCUGUAAAUAACUGGGCCGGUGUUCUACGUAUUCGCAAGAAAUCGGUGCAUUUUAGCGUUGCUUACAGCGAUGUGACGGUGUUUGUGAGUUUCCUGUGUGGGAAUUGUGUGUGAGCGACAUGGCGCGCUCGCCGCGGAGGAUCGCCGCUCACAGGAGAAGCAGGAGCCGGUCCCGGGAGCUCUCCAGGCUUAGAACUCAGCUCAACGGAAAAGACAAGAAGCUCCAUUGUCGAGAGGCGGCAGUGGAAAUGGCGUGCAUGGCCCAGUGCGCCCGCAAGGCCACGGCUCGCGCCUCCACCACCGUCUGCUGCCUCUACUUACUAUAAUAAUAAACAAAUAACCAUUUGUCAGACCAUCAACCUCAUUUAUCACAGAAUUUUUCCGUACCUGCUGGCUCAUUAUCAUUGCUCGACGAAGUGGAACCUUAGAAAAAGUGAAAAGACAAUUAAGAAUCAAUUGGACUCGUUCCAUUCGAAAGAUAAUUUUUGUGGUCAUAACAAAAAGUCAAGGUGAGAGACUGCAGUGGCUGCAGAAAAACCAGACAGAAGGACAUUUUAUAAUGAUGAUUAUGGAGCCCGACAAUUCCAGCAGUUUAGGCACGACUGAUUGCAUAGUCGUAUUUGUAUUUUUAUAUCAUACAUUCAAUAAAGAUUGCUAGAUGCAGUUUUUGAAAAA